rnacentral:rRNA from 1 species
CAGUAGCCACGGUAAUACGGAGGAUCCGAGCGUUAUCCGGAAUUAUUGGGUUUAAAGGGUGCGUAGGCGGAUAGAUAAGUCAGUGGUGAAAGACGGUGGCUCAACCAUCGCAGUGCCGUUGAUACUGUUUAUCUUGAAUAUGGAUGAGGUAGGCGGAAUGUGGCAAGUAGCGGUGAAAUGCAUAGAUAUGCCACAGAACACCGAUUGCGAAGGCAGCUUACCAAGGCAAAAUUGACGCUGAGGCACGAAAGCGUGGGGAUCGAACAGGAUUAGAUACCCCAGUGUCCCUGUCUCUUAUACA